UGUUACAAUGGCAGGUACAGAGGGGUGCUACCGGGUGACCGGAUGCCGAUCUCGAAAACCUGUCCCAGUUCGGACUGGAGUCUGCAACCCGACUCCACGAAGUUGGAUUCGCUAGUAAUCGCGCAUCAGCCAUGGCGCGGUGAAUACGUUCCCGGGCCUUGUACACACCGCCCGUCAAGCCAUGGGAGCCGGGGGCGCCUGAAGUCCGGGACCGCGAGGACCGGCCUAGGGCGAAACUGGUGACUGGGGCUAAGUCGUAACAAGGUAAC
rnacentral:rRNA from 1 species